rnacentral:rRNA from 1 species
GGAGUCUGGGCCGUGUCUCAGUCCCAAUGUGGCCGUUCAACCUCUCAGUCCGGCUACUGAUCGUCGCCAUGGUGAGCCGUUACCUCACCAUCUAGCUAAUCAGACGCGAGCCCAUCUCAGAGUGAUAAAUCUUUGAUAAUAGUAUCAUGCGGUACCAUUAUGUUAUGAGGUAUUACCAUCCGUUUCCAGAAGCUAUCCCUCUCUCUAAGGUAGGUUGCUCACGUGUUACUCACCCGUCCGCCACUAAGUUAUUCUAAGUAAACUCAAAAUAACUCCGUUCGACUUGCAUGUGUUAAGCGUGCCGCCAGCGUCGUCCUCGUAGCCACGGAGUCAAACUACU